UAGAGAUUGUUCCUGGCUCAGGACGAACGCUGGCGGCAUGCCUAAUACAUGCAAGUCGAGCGAACAGAUGAAGUGCUUGCACUUCUGACGUUAGCGGCGAACGGGUGAGUAACACGUAAGGAAUCUACCUAUAAGCGGGGGAUAACAUUCGGAAACGGGUGCUAAUACCGCAUAAUAUCUUCUUCCGCAUGGAAGAAGAUUGAAAGACGGCUCUGCUGUCACUUAUAGAUGACCUUGCGGUGCAUUAGUUAGUUGGUGGGGUAACGGCCUACCAAGACGAUGAUGCAUAGCCGACCUGAGAGGGUGAUCGGCCACAUUGGGACUGAGACACGGCCCAAACUCCUACGGGAGGCAGCAGUAGGGAAUCUUCCGCAAUGGGCGAAAGCCUGACGGAGCAAUGCCGCGUGAGUGAAGAAGGCCUUCGGGUCGUAAAACUCUGUUAUAAGAGAAGAACAAAUUGUAGAGUAACUGCUACAGUCUUGACGGUAUCUUAUCAGAAAGCCACGGCUAACUACGUGCCAGCAGCCGCGGUAAUACGUAGGUGGCAAGCGUUGUCCGGAUUUAUUGGGCGUAAAGGGAGCGCAGGUGGUUUCUUAAGUCUGAUGUGAAAGCCCACGGCUUAACCGUGGAGGGUCAUUGGAAACUGGGAAACUGAGUACAGAAGAGAAUGAUUACUC
rnacentral:rRNA from 1 species